rnacentral:lncRNA from 1 species
GAUAAUGGGGCUGUAUUUUCUUUUAUUUUUAUUUUUGUUAUUUUUUUAUUUUCAAAUUCCCAAAGUUCUUCCACCAUUCUGCUGUUUCUUCUCCCCCAGCUCUGCUGAAUCUCUACCAAAGUUUCUUUUUCUGCUCCAUUCUUGUCAAUUUUGGCCAUUGGUUUACCUUUUCUCUUUUCGUUUGCCAGAGUUGCACAAAGAAU